rnacentral:tRNA from 1 species
UCCCUGGUGGACUAGUGGCUAGCAUGCGGCUCUCUCACUGCUGCGGCCCGGGUUCGAUUCCCGGUCAGGGAA